GCUUUGUAUGUGUUUGCGGGGGUGUCAGGAUGCUAUAUCCGCAAUCUUUCUCAAAAUAAAGCUGAAACGCGCCAUUUAGGCCUCUUUGUUGAAAAGUCUCCUCUCCCUGUGCGUCGAUCUGUUAAUUAUAUGCAACAGGAGGAGGAGGGGGGCAGGAGGGGGAGUGUCGUUGAUGAGCAGGGGCGGAGCCGCGGGCUAACGCUGUGUUGUGGUGGUGGUACGGCAGGCUAGCUGUUACCUAGAGUUAGCAAUUUGCCCUAGUUAGCAAUGGGACGUCCAGCACCUGAUGGAACUUACUCUCGCUUGUUUUGACCGAAAGAUGACACAAUCUAUUGCCUACCUGCUCAUGGGCUUCAGUGCAGGACGCCUCAGAAGGCCGUUUCAGGCAUUUGUCCAACAGUGAUUCGAGUGUUGUCUUGCAUAUCCAUGCCGAGUUCCCCGAUGAAGGACGUUGGGACCUCGAUACAAGGCUGGCGGUGACCUCCUCUGGCUGGCUCGUCUGAACUGCGCUGACUUGUCUUCUAGGGCACCAACAUUGCAUUAGUCACGGGGUUUCCGAAGACCUUUCCACACAAAGCACACAGGAAAAGAAAAAUAUUGUUUAGAAUGCUAUGUCAUUUUUGAAUUAUUGAAGUAACACUAUUAAAAUGUUAUGUCAGAA